rnacentral:lncRNA from 1 species
UUUCCUCCUCCAAACCUCUUCAAGGAGGUAUUGGUGUAAUCCAACUUCAGGUCUGCUAUUCUCAUCUCGUCCAGGGUUGACUUAAACAACACAUCAACUGAACUCCCUGUGUCAACCAGUAUCCUGUCAAACUUCUUGCUAGCAACAGUGGCCUUGAUGACCAAAGCAUCCUCGUGGGGGUAUAGAAUCCCUUCCUCAUCCUCAUCUGUCCACAUAAUUGGCACUUGCCUGACUCUUGCACGUUUGGCUGCUGGGGUGUUGAAGAAUACCUCUUUGCUGGUCAUGGCGUAUCUAGCAUAAUUCUUCCUCGACCUGUUGGAAUCUCCAGCCAAUGUUGAGCCCCCAGUUAUCACCCUUAUUGUAGGCUGCUCGCGCCUCAAGUUCCUGUCACUCUGCUCCCCCUCACUUGUCGAGGCUACCAUUGGGAAGGUCCCAUCUAUAAACUCGUCCAGAUACCGAUUUCUCACCAAAUCCUCGACCUGGGUCUUGAGAUCCCUGCAAUCUGCUGUGGUGUGGCCAUGGGUGCCAUGGAACUUACAAUAGCGCCCCUUAUCCCUCCUGCUGGGCAGCUUUGUUAUUGGGGCAGGGAGGUACAGCAGCCCUCGAUCCUUUAUGGCCUCGUACACCUCAUCCAGGGACAUCUUCAAGGAAGUAUACCGCCCAUAGUCCUGGUUCUGGUCGAUCAGGUGCACUGAUCUUUCUCUGUUUGCUCCGUUUUGAGUUGGGGGCGGUGGCAGUACUUCUGGUCUGCUCCCUCUGCUACCGUGGGAAUGUUGAUGAGGGCCACUAUAUGCCGAAUCAUGCCUUCUCCAAGGCUCCCUAGCUGGGGAACGAGGAGGUUGCGCCCUGCUGCGCUGAUACUGUGGUGGCCUCUGAUGAGGCUGGUAAGCAGUUACCCGACCUCCUGCUCCACUACCCGAGGCCUGGUGGUCCCUCCUCCUGAUCGGGCCAUUCCCCGGUAAUACUUUCUUCUCUUUCCUCCCCAACCCUUCUAACUGGUCUGUCUUAAUCCGUGCUGCCUUCUCCUCUUCAAUCUCAAUGUCUCUCUUAGCCUGCUCGUAUGCGGCCGCGUACGUCUGAAUAACUGGGCUUCUCAAGUUGUACCACAGCCUUCCUAUCUUCACCCCUUCUUUCAAUCCCCUUAACGCCUGAGGGUGGUUGAAGGCUCCCAAGUCGAGGACAGCACGAUGAAACCUCUUGAUGAAUUCCCGAAGGGUUUCUUGCUCCCCCUGUUUCAUGCUUUUCAGCUCCAUCAUGUCAUCUUCUGGUGCCAUUGCCCCACUAAACUGCUCUGCAAAUUCCUGGUACAUCUGCUCGAAGGUUUUAAUGCUGCCCCGAGGAAGCUUCAUGUACCACUCUCGUGCACGUCCCUCAAGGGAUAGUGGGAACACCCUGCACCUUUGGGAUUGAGAUAAUCCUUGUACCCCAGUUAUGUCGUUGAAGCGCUCUAUGCGCACCAGCGGAUCAGUUCUUCCCGAGUAUCUAAGGUUUGGGAGGCGGAAGUCUCUCGGAAUAAUUGCCCUCAUGAUCUCUGCUGCGAGCGGUGAUUCUCCGUCCAGCAUUAUCCUCCAACCAGGAGCUCUGCUCCUUCCUUGCAUGUCGUCAAUUAUCUGCGCUAGUCUGCGCACUUCCUCCUCCAGCUGCACUGCACGACCAGGGUCACGUGCUGCAACUUGAUCCCUCUCUUGCUCCACAUCAUGCAAGUGUUGCCUCAACUCUGUUUCCUCUGCAUUCGCCACCCCGUCGUCCUCGUCAAAAAUCUGUCUUACUGGGGAUUGCUCUUCCUCUCUAUGAAAGUCUCCCCGCAGAGGUAUGUUACCUCUCUCACCACCAAAUCUCCCGGUGGUUUGACUUCUCCUCGUACUAUCGGGACCUGGAGCCACUCCCCUAACUCUCAUCCUUUCCUCCUAGGUUACCCUUCGUUCACUCCGCAGCUCAUGCAGGAUGGUUGUCAGGGUCUCCAUCUGCUUUUCCAUCCGUUUCAUCCGGUCGAACAUGGCUUUUUCCCGUGCUUCACUGGCUAUCUCCCUCAGAGUCACGGAAUCGUUGAGCCUCAUAUCACCCCCUUGUGCACUACUUCCUCCCGUCUCCAUUGCUUUUCACUUGCUUCACUCCUCUUCUUGCUAUCAACAGAAGCUUUUUGAUCAGCUCCCCACAGACGGCGCCAAAAUAUUGAUGCGGGAUUCUGGUUGUCCUCAUUCUACGACCAGGGUCUCUGCUCGAUCAACUUCACCACGACCAGGAUCUCUCCUCGUAAAGCUUCUUCUCCAGAGGUUCCUGCGCACACAGACAGGUAAGAGUACGCCGGUUGUUUUCCCGGCGCAAACCCUCCGACGCUCAAGUCAGAUAUGAAGGUUCGGGGAACGCUUGCCACAGAUCUUAUAGCUUUUGGGUAGUUUUCUCUUCUUUAGAAUUUCUUUUAUCUCUCUCCUAAUCUCAAAAUUGCUAACCCUUUUACCUUCGUUGGCUACCUUUUUAUAGGCUUCCUCUGAAUCCCAGUUUUUCGCAGUCUACGCCCGUUAUCCUCCCACCUCUCGAACGUGGAUUCCCCAUUUCUGUAGUCGUGGGUGGUUGCGUGGCCUUCGUGCCUAGAUUCUCGGGCUGGAGAACUUGCCUCACUAACUGUCGUUGACCGGGUCUCCUCGAAUCAACCCUUAGCAAGAAUACAGCAUGAAUGGCUUUAUGCUUCUUACAGGAAAUUGGCCUCGCGGAUGACGCUCGUGGAUGAGCAGGAUAUUCCUGCCCCUGUUCCCCUACUACCUGGCUCUUACAGGACACACCUGCUCGCAGACUUCUGCCACCAAACAUCUGCUCAUCACGUCUGGUCUCGUCGGAGUAUUUCCCUCAAACAGGUAGGAACAAAAGAUUGUUUUGCUGACAAAGACCCUAGCAAGAUAUCUUUGCUGACAAAGCUUCCGAAGAAUUCCAUCACGAUAUCUUUGCUGACAAAGACCCUACCUUAAUAACUUGGUUCCUGCCACUCAAAGCGCAUCAACUGAUCACUAGACCUAUUUUUAAAUUUGCUUCAAGUCCAUCAAUUUCUUUGACGUAAUGAAAAAAUAACUAAAUAAUUAUCCCUCCCAAAAUAAUUACAUUUCCUAAAAUAACAUCAACCUAAUUAGCUUCUAAUUGAAUGCUUAACGUGCUCUGCGGUUGAAUUUUGGAAGAGCAUUGAUGUUGUGGCAAUCUAAUCAUCAUGCUCUUCUUCAUCUUCACAAUAACUAAAAGGUAGUGGUACUGAUUUAAAUGCCCGAUACUUCCCGACAUUGUUCAAAUGUUCAUUCUCCAACCUGCCCAGCCAACACAACGAUAAGAUCAUAACAUAGUUUUAGAGUAUUAAAUCUUGUUACUGUCACCAUAAUUCAUAUCUAAUCAGGUCAUAUGUAACAUAUUCUUAAUCAUAAAAGCUAACUUCGCGCUUAAAAUUAACCUGAAGAAAUUCCAAAUGCCGUGACGAAUAAUCUCCAGGCUUGCUACAAUUGUUAUUAAAGUUGGUCUACGUAUGAAUCUGAACCUUAUGUUACAACACAGUCUGCAACCAGUCAAAUCUCAGCAACACAUUCAAGAUCUGCAUUUUUCAAUCAAUUUUGUUAGAAACUGCUGUGGCUGCUGGUUUCCUAACAGCCAACUAAAUUCCAAUAUCUGUUAGUAGUUUAUUAAAUAUUACUAAAAAUACUUUGCUUCUGAGGUAACAAGAUAGAAGAAAGACACAUGGAGAAUGUGUCACGUGCACAAUUUGGACAAGCACGUGACUUAUACUUAAAACAAAAUCCAACUCAAUAGCCGUCAAAUUGAUCCUGUGCCUAAAAAAUUACAGUCAGAUAUUCCGAAAUAUUUUAUUAACUUUUCCCCAUAUUUUUAUUUCUUGUUUUAUUUCAAUCUGUCCAAAUGUUAACUUGAACAGUUGUAAAGAGAAGAGAGAUUCCACGAUAAGAAAGCAUACUACUUUCAUCACUAUGAAGGACCCUUGUUUUUAAAGGAUGCUUUAUUCAAAUUUCAUUUUAAUUCUAUGAUCAAGAGUGCUCUAAUAACACCUUAUUUAAUUUCCCACCUACCAUGGCUGAAAACUACACACUUUUUCUGGGAACCAGUAGUUUGUCUCUCAGCCAGCGGUUCCUAGAUUGGCGUUGCAGUAGUCCCCAGUCGACAACAAGGUCCCAGUAGGUGCCAUAAAUUGUUGCAAUGGCUGAGAAUAUCCCGGAUAUAAGUUUCCAUCUGAAUCCCCUGUACAGAGUGCAAGCAGUCCUUGUGCUAAUGGCUAUGAUUGUCACAAAGUAUUUUAGCCCAUUAUAUCCUUGCAUUGGAUCUUUCUCUUCGUAGAGGCGCCGAAGACACUGCAAACAGUUUUUUUAUUUUAGUAUGAAGCUCACACCAAAUUAAUCUUAAUGUUGGGUAACCGAAAGAGCAUUUAAUGUGGCACCUGAAGGAAGCGAAACCAGUAUGGAAUCACAGCAACAAUGAAAUAGAAAGUGUUGUAUACAUCAUCCGAGUGGCAAGUGUUUCGUCGGCGUUUAAAGUCUCCCCAACCAUAAUAGCAAAUGUAGAUCCCCAGGCUUCUGAUGGCUUGGACCUGCGCGCGCGCACACAAACAAUAUAAUGAUGGAUGCUCAUUAUCUUCACAUCUAUUUUAGUACUAUCCUCACAUCUUGUUUAUCUUUCUGUAAAUGAGGCAUUUGUGUGCUUAUUUUACAAACCUGGCUAGUUAACUGAUCUGCCAUGAAGAAAUCUUGGAGGGUGACCUGAAUUAGAUAAAGAGAAACGUGCACAAUAAAUAUAUGCAUCCCAUCGUUUGUUCAUUUCAUUUGAGUAUUUUUCCAUUUUGGUAGUACUUGAAUGUGUUUUAGACCUUGUGGAGAGGAGCAGCGAUGCAAUGAAACAGGCUUGCAAGAAAAAAGAAGCGACUUGAUCGAAAUAUGAUGUUGAAUGGGCAGAUCAAUAUGACAAUUACAAGCUGCAAAUUAAGAUACAAAGUUGAGCAUCAUUUUUAGUUCAUGUUUCAGAAGUUGGAUUGGCAAAAAAUGUUGUGGAAGUUGAACAAUUGUCUACCAAAACUAAGCCUAAAGGGAGAAGCUCGGUCAGCGCUUUGUAUUCUUUUAUUUUGGGAUCCAUCUCCAUGUCGAGAUUGGAAAGCACACUUGUUAGGGCUAAUGUUGCAAGGCCAAAGCUGACGAGAAGAACUUCCCUGUAUCCCAGCUCUGUUCCUUGCUCGAUAUUAAAAAUGAAUGGAUAAUUGACUCGACACCGCCUCCAGAAGUAUACAUUCACAGCAUACAUUAGCAUGCGUAGCACAAUGAAUGCAAAUAAGCUGCAAAAGUUUAACACGACAUGUCAAAUAAAAGCUAGAUGAUUUUUCUCUUCUGCAAUAUGAAAAGCUGGAGCAAUUUCUGUCACCUAUAAAGGGGAAACAUGUUUUCCAUGUAUUGGGCUUGUCCUUUCUUACCCAUAAGAUUUCGUUUAGAUUUUUAGAUUUUUCCUCCUGAAGGUCUCCUCUGUCUGUCCAGGAACAUUGACAAGAUUGUUAAUGAUUGAACUGGGAGUCUCAAAAGUUUCGUUAAGCUUCACUGUCUAAGUAUUUGUAAUGGAACUGCUUUAAUGCUCCUGAUAAUAGUCGUCGGCUUCUGUUCUUCAAACUUUGGUUCACAAUCUAAUUCAUCUGAUGGCCCUUGCAAUAUCUCGGCUUGUAACCGAAAAGCAAUCAAAGUAUCCAUUUGCUUACUCAGACUUUCAGCCUCAGCAAUCGCUUCUUUUACUUUAGUUCUAGAAAACUUCUCAACUUUAUUGAAUUCCUCAUCAAGCUUCCUAAAAUACUCCUGCUCACACUCCCCUCCUUCCGCGGCAACCUGUAGAAACGUGAUCUCAUAACUUUCAAAGCCAUUUUCAGUCACGGAAUUUACAAGAAUGUAUUGGCUUUCAAUGUCUUUUUUAGAUGGACUAAUGGGGUUGUUGUUCUGUCCCUGAACUAGACCACUGAAGGCUCGGCAAAGUGUCAUUGCUCUGUUUACUCCAGCAUUUUGCUUGUUUCUCUGCUUUAUCCGUCGGACCUCCUUCAAAAGGGUCUUCAAGUUAUCAUAAUUCAUGAAAGCUUCUUGCCAUUCGGGCACCAUUUGGGAUGCAUAUUCCUUCCCAAACUUAAUCUCUCCUUCGAUUUCUGGAUAUUAAUUGCUUCAGCACCAAGUACAAGGAAAAGGACAGAGUAAGAAAAAUCUUAUUGUUUUGAUGAUCAUUUUGAUGAUCAUAAAUAUACACAUGCACAUACAAACAAACGUGCUAUAGAAUGAGGUGCUACAGUUUUUCUUAUACAAAGCAUUCAGAAUUGGCCACCUGAACUUAUGUAACAGUGAAAACAUAACCCCUUUGGAAUGUACUUAUUUGUUCUCUUUUUUAACUGUUUCAUUUCUUUAUUUUCCUUUAAUUAGUUUCCAAGUCAUUUGACUGCUUCCUUAGCCACAGAUCCACAACAGUGUACUAGUUGCCACCUAACGGUAGUGGAAAAAUGGUUCUCUCAUUUAUUAAAAUGCGGACAUAGUUAAGAGGGAAAAAAAUAAAAUAAAAUUGUAUUAAUGGAUAAAAGAACACAGAAUUGGAAUGUCUUUAUUAUCUUUCAAUUUACAUCUCACUUUAUUUAAAAGAGCUCCCUCAUUAGAUAAUUAUCUCUGAGUCAAGCUACAGUGCAGCAUUUGUAAUCUGUUUGAAUUUGAACCUAUUUGUACAGGUAUACAUACAAAAUAAUGCAACUCUGAAUGGAAGAAGCAAUUAAACCCCCUUUUUGUUUGGUUCAAUUAAGCAUUUUCACUUUUAUGUUUCAAAAUUCACAAUAACCUUUAAUUCUUUUUAUGCUUGAAUGUUGUCUGUGGUUGUGCAGGGUGUAGUUAACGAAGUAAAAGUCGAUUCAUUCAACUUUCCUUCAUACUAUCCAAUCUCAAAGGUAUUGGAGAAUAACAAAGAGAGAAAAAAUGGAUAUUUCAAUGUUGAGACUUGAGAAAGUGAAAUUCACAGCCCUGUUGAUGACUUCUGAUGUAGGAGCCGUGUUUUGAGAAUGAGAGAGCAUGCAAAAUCCUUUUUCCAUAUAAAAUGAUAUUCCUUAAUCCUAAUAAUAAAAUCUUCUGUUAAAUCUCAAUAUAUUAAAUUCUUUUGAAUUUCUCAGAUUCAUUGCAAUUAGCAUACGAUGCCAAUUCUCCAAAAAUGCAAAAAGAAAACAAAUAAACAAAAAUGGACAUGGGAGAUAUGCCAUUAGAAUCAUAAAAUACAUAUACAAAAAAUGUUUAAUAGAUAAAUCUCAUAAGUAAGGUUACCUUGUCACAACCCCACAUCUCGGAACAAACAGAUAUAACUGAUUAAACCACCAAACACCACGCACCCGCCAUAAUUAAGAGUCUGCAAUCAAGUAAGGGUAUCCACUUUAUAGUUCUGAGACCGUGACUCUGUCAAUUUAAUUCUAGAACAUAUCAUCACUGGCAUUAUUACUCUUCUUCUUUUAAAACCUAGACUUAAGCAUCCGAGGAUUAUCGCUCGACAAAAAUAUUUUUCUUUCCAGAGCAGGAGAGAUUCGUCAGAUAACUAACAGAGGUUACCUAGGUCAGGGACCAAGCCGAGGCCAACCUGAUUUUUAUGCUCUGCGGUACAUAGAGUUCUAGUAGAGCAUUAAUUAUCAAUUAUCAUGGUCGUUUGCAGCUUCAUGGUAAGUGAAUGGUAAUGGCACCGAUUUAAACGCACGAAACUUGCCAACAUUGUUCAAAUGCUCAUUCUCCAACCUGCCCAACCAAGACAACAAUAUGAUCAGAAAAUAUAACAUAUGCAUGUAAAAAUUAUUCUCAAUCAUAAAAUUGCAAAAAGCUAAAUUCAUAGUCAUUAGUUAAUUACCUGAAGAAAUUCCAUAUGCCGCGACGAAUAAUCUCCAGGCUUGCAACAAUCGUGAUUAGAGUUUCUUUAUGUAUGAAUGAGACUCGUAUGUUCAGCACAGUCUGCAACCAGGCAAGUCUCAGCAAGACAUUCACCACCUGCAUUUUUUCAGUCAACUUUUUUUUUAACAACCAGCUAAAUUAACUCUGCUAUUUAUUUGUUUGAAAAUUUCAUGCUAAUUAUAUGUUAUUUAGUUUCCCAGUUACCAUCGCUACAAAAUAAACGCUUUUGUUAGGGACAAGUAGUUUGUCUCUCAGCCAGGGGUUCUUAGAUUGGCGUUGCAGUAGUCCCCAGUCCAUAAUGAGGUCCCAAUAGGUACCAUAAAUUGUUGCGAUGAUUGAGAAUAUCCAGGACGUAAUCUGCCAAUUGAAUCCCUUGUAAAGACUGUAAGCAGUUCUUGAACUAAUAGCUAUGAUGGCCACAAAGUAUUUUAGUCCAUUAUAUCCUUGCAUCGGAUCCCUUUCUUCCACGAGGCGCCGGAAGCACUGCAAACGAGGGAGUUAAAGAUUUUGAUUUAGUAAGAAGCGAACACCAUAUCUGUCCAUCGUAACUAAUGUUGGGUAGUUGAAAUAACAUUGAAUGGUGUUUACCUGAAGGAAGCGAGACCAAUAAGGAAUGAUAGCGACAACGAAAUAGAAAAAUUUGUAUACACUGCUCGAUUUGCAAUGGUUUUCUCGGUGUUUAAAGUCUCCCCAGCCAAAAUAGCAAAUGUAGAACUCCAGGCUUCUGAAGGCUUGGACCUGGCUAGUGAGUUGAUCUGCCAAGAAGAAGUCUUGGAGUGUGACCUACAAUAUAGAGAUUAAAGAAUGUGAAUUAUGCAUAAUUAAUAAACAUAAUGUUCAUUUCAUUCGAGUCCUCUUUUUUUUAAAAAAAAUUAAGUAGUAUUUCAAUAUGUUUCAUACCUUGUAGAAAGGAGCUGCUAUGCAACGAAACAAGCAGACAAGAAAAAAGAAACGACUAGAGCGAUAGAUGAUGUUGAAUGGGCAGAUCAUUAUGACAGUUACAAGCUGGAAGAAAAAAAAGGGAAAAAGAAAAAAGAUCAUUUUUAGUGCAUAUUUCAGAAGCUGUGUAGGCCUAAAAUUUAGUGGAAUUUGGAGAAUUGUUUACCAAAACUAAGCCUAGAGGGAGAAGCUCAGUCAGUGCUUCGUAUUCUUCUGUUUCAGGAUUCAUCUCCAUAUCGAGAUUCGAAAUCACACUUGUUAGGGCCAGUGUUGCAAGACCAAAGCUGACAAGGAGAACUUCCCUGUAUCCCAGCUCCGUUCCUUGCUUAAAACCAAAAAUGAAGGGGUAAUUUACUCGAUACAGACGCCAGAAAUAUACAUUGCCAGCAUACAUUAGCAUGUGUAGCACAACGAAUGCAAAAAAGCUGCAAAGGUUUAACAUGACUUGUCAGAUAAAAGCUAGAUAUUUUGCUCUUCAGAAAUAUGAAGAGGUGGAGCAAUUUUUUGUUACCUGUAAAGGGGAAACAUGUUUUCCAUGUAUUGAGCUUGUCCUUUCUUAUCCAAGAGCUUGCGGGCUUGUAUGAUGAGGAUAAGGCCUAGAACUAGAGCUAUUGAGCAGCCAACAAAUAGGCCUGGAAGAUAAUUAAUAAAAAGAUUCAGACGAGUCAAAACAAGAACUGCAUUGGGGACGUAAAUGAAGCUGCAUUGGAUAUUUAUAGAAGUAUGUCUCACCAAUGCAAAAUGAUAUCCUAUGCCUUUCUAUCUUAGUCUUUGGUCUUAAAAUGUUCAUGCCUUUUCUUCGGUUUGAAUUGGCGAAAUGCUUGAUGAAUGUAGCUUCAACUCUUUCCAUAAGCUUGGUUACCUUCAUUGUAACAUGUCAGAUCAAUUGAAAGUGACUAAAGCUUCAGACAAAGCCUUCUCCUGAUAAGAAAUUUCAGAAUUCUUACUUCAUUAGAGCUGCCAAGAUAGGAUUUAUCCACCAUCUUCAUGUAAGAAUCCGAUGCCUUCGUUGAGGUGAUCUUCAUCAAUGAUAAAGAAAGAAAUAUUAGUAAGAAAAUUGCGAAUCAAAUUGCCCAAGAUAAAAAAAUACGAGGGAUGUCACAUAAUUAAUUGAAUUGCAAAUAGUUCAACAGGGAAUGUACCUUAUCAUAUUUCUUCAUGAUUUUUGAAAAUGCUAAGAUAUUCAAGAAGCUGUUUUGACAUACAAGCAAGAAUCAUGAGCAAAAGAACUUAAGAACUUUCACUAUACAAAUUGAAAACAUUGUCUAGAAACUUAUACCUGUAACUCUUAAGAUGCCGGAGCCUGAGAUAAAACUCAGCAAACGCCUCGUUAAGUUGCUUUUCAACUUUCUUUACAUUCUCCUUAAUGUAGUCCUCCUCUGUCAUCCUAGAAGCAUAGACAACGUUUCUAACCAUAGAAGCCGGAGUUGCGAAAGUUUGGUUAACCUUUACCUGGCCAAUAAUAUCUAAUGGAACCGUUUUAUUGGCAUUAACAGUCUUCAGCUUCCGUUCUUCAAAUUUUGGCUCAGAAACAUCUGAUUCACCUGAUUGCCCUUGCAAUAUGUCAGCUUUUAGCCGAAAAGCAAUCAAAGCAUCCAUUUGCUUACUCAGAUUUUCAGCCUCAUCCAUCACUUCUUCCACCUUACUUUUAUAAAACUUUUCAACUUUAUUGAACUCCUCAUCAAGCUUCCUAAAAUACUCCUUCUCACAUUCCGCUCCUUCCUCAGGAAGCGGUAAAUACGUAGCAUCAUAACUUCUAUCUCCAUUUUCAUUCAUAGAAUUUACAAAAAUGUGUUGGCUUUCAGAUUCUUUUCUAGAUGGGUUGAUGGGGAAGUUGUGUCUUUGUACUAGACCACUGAAAGCUCGGUAAAGUGUCAUUGUUCUCUUUACUCCAGCAUUUUGCUUCCUUGUCUGCCUUAUCUGUUGGAUAUUCUUCAAAAGAGUCUUCAAAUCAUCGUAAUUCAUGUAAGCUUCUUGCCAUUCAGGCACCAUUUGGGAUUCAUAUUCCUCUUUGAAUUUCAUCCCUCUUUUGAUUUCUAGAUAUUAAUUGGUUCAACCCCAAGUACAAGGAAGAACAAACUCACCUUCUAUAGAAUUAGGUCCAGUUUUUUUCUGGAAGUUUUCAUACAAAUUAAGCUCUCUCAGAACAUACGUUUUAAAUUUUUUAUUCCUUUUUUUUCUUUAAUUAGUUCCAACCUUUUUGACUCUUUCCUUAGCCACAGGUCCGCAAUAGCGUUUGUUGCCACCUAAUACUAAUGUUUGGUUCUUGAUUAAUUUCAUAAUUAUAAACAUUACCGCAACAAAAACAAAACAAAAUCAUGGAAGGUACAUACCUACCUAAUUCAUUCUAGUCUUGAUUGUAGGUUCAAUCUUCUUCUUUUUUUCUUCUUAUGACAGAGCUGAUAUAAGAACCAUAACGAUCACCAGUCAGCCACAAACAGCUCAAAUUUUAAUAGUAUAAAUAGAUGCUGCAUUUUUAGAAAAUAUGUUUUGAUAUUAACUUUAAUUAUUCCGUAAAUUGGGGAGGUUUUCAGAGUUUCUUUGCCUGUUUCUGUUUUUUCCUCCGUUCAGCCGUGGAAUCAAAACAGCAUGGAAAGUGAUUAUCAUAUUUUGAGCUCUCUGCUGUAAUUUCUUGUGAAUAAUGCUAAAGCUGUAAAUCAAACUGAAAGUCGGUAGUAAUUUUCUAGAAAAUUUGCAAAUGAUCAUACCAAAGGCAUAACAAUCAUAUUAAAUCUCAUUGAAGCAACAUUAGCCUUCCAAAAAAAAAAAAGUCAAUGGACCUAAUCAUUUGGGGAGGGGGGACUAUGUAAUUAAUUAAUUAUUAAUUUAUAUGAAAUUUUAGAAAACUACUAGAAAUUUUAUUUACUUUACCUUGUCUUUCAGUUAGUUGGUGUGGUGGAUACAAAUUUUGGGCAUCACCACCACUCUUGACUCGGGCUUUUUGCAAACAUGACCGAGCAUUAAACUUAAAAGAGUAAUAUUAAAGUCACAAGGUAAUUUUUGAUAGAUUGAGGUAGCAUAUUAUAUUAUUGUAUAGUUGUUUCUUUUGUUUUGAUCGGCAGGGAAAUAUAAGGGGAAAUUUACAUCAAUAACCAUAAACAUUUUGACUUUUUCCAUCUUAACCCGCCAAACAAACUUCUAUCAACAUUAACCAUAAAAAGACCUUUGAGACUAAAAUACCCCUCUCUCUUAUCUCUCCCCCAACAAUCUCUCUUUCUUCCAUCUCUCCCAAACCGAAGAACCUCCCAUCAUCGGCAGCCGUCGCUGGGCAACAGCGGGUACACGCGCGCCCGUGCAGUCGCACCAGUUCUGUAGUGAUCUUCCUAACAAGGCUGGGCCUCAUUUCUGCAGUGAUCUUCCUGUCGAUGCCAAAAACAUUGUUGUUCAUAUUACCAUCAUUUGUUCUAUUCAGGAAGCCGAGAUAUUGAGAUGCAGCAGCGCCUUGGAUGCCUGCGGAAAGCAUGAAGAUGAAGACCAGCCAUGGCCUGCAAUUCUAAGUUGGCUAGCAGUCUGGCAAUAUAUAGCUGCUGCUGCAGCAAUAAAUCGAAAUUUUCUUCAAACAUUAAAUCCCAAACUAGAGAGUUAAGGCCCCAUUUGCCCCAGUUUCUAACUUGGCUGCUGCAUGGGAAGAAAUGAAAGUUGACUAGUAGAUAAUUAAAUACGUUUUGAAUGGUAAGAGAAUACCAGAACUAAAAUUGUUAGCAUGAUAAAGUAUGUAUCAAGCUUAAAGGCUCGUAGGGAUCAACACGAUACUUGGCAACUUCAGCAAGGGAUAUCCAACACAUUCCUCCUAUUAAUCACAUAAUAAGAUACUGUCGUUUCUCCAAAAUAAUUUAUGGCUAAUAGUGAGCUCCACAAGAAUGGCCCAUAACGUAGAAAUUACAGUUGCCGAGUGGAAAGAAAAAUACAAGUGAUGAAUUGCAAAUAGAUUUUUCAAGUUUUGGUGCGACAGGCACCUGUCGCACCAAGCUUUGUGCGACAGGCAGCCUGUCGCCAAAUUCACCCACGAUUCGCAGUUCAUUGAAACUCUCGAGUAAGUUCAGAAAAUAAUUCAUACUACUAUGUGAUGCCGAUUAGUGUUGGAUUCGGAUAAAUUAUGUUCGGAUUUCAUUUUUAUCGUUACCUUUUGCCGUCGUCGUUGGUUGAUGAUUCAAGAGUGGAAAGCUGGCUUUGGUUUGACGAAAGAGGAGAAAGAAAGUUGCUUUUAGUUUGUAAAAAAAGAUAAUUUGGAGAGAAAAGCGUGUGUUUAGCUAAUGUUGAUAGAAAAAAGUUGAGAGGAUUAAUUGUGAAAAUAGCAAAAGUUUUAUGGUUAUUUUCGUAAAUUUCCCAAAUAUAAGACAUGUCCAAAUGAUAUAACGCCGAUUUGUAUAAAAUGCAUACAAGAGUUUAUAUUUAUUUAUAUAUAUGUAGAGAGAGAAAAAUGUUCCAUUUCAAAAUUUUAAAGUGUGCGAUUAAAUUGUAUUUAGCAGAGCAUUGAUGAAGUAUAUCAUUCUAUUCAUUAUGGUCUUCGUCUUCUUCACAAUACGUAAAUGGCAGUGGUACUGAUUUAAAUGCCCGAUAUUUCCCAACAUUGUUUAAAUGUUCAUUCUCCAACCUGCAACAAACGAACGUUACAGUAUAUAAAAACCAAACAGAAGAUUCAUGAGAGAAAUUAUAAAUCAUAGAAGCAAAAUUCGUAGUAAUUACCUGAAGAAAUUCCAAAUGCCGCGACGAAUAAUCUCCAGGCUUGCAACAAUUGUAAUUAAAGUUUGUCUAUGUAAGAAUGAGAACUGUAUGUUCAACACAGUCUGCAACCAGGCAAAUCUUAGCAACACAUUCAAGACCUGCAACAAGUUUUCAUUCAAUCAACUUUGUGACAGAAACAACAACGUCCCUUUGUUAUUACAGUAUUCAUUUAUUCAAUUUUCACCCACUUACAAUGGCUGCAAAAUAAACACUUUUACUAGAGAUAAGUAGUUUGUCUCUGAGCCAGCGGUUUUUAGAUUGGCGUUGCAGUAGUCCCCAGUCGACAACAAGGUCCCAAUAGGUACCAUAAAUUGUUGCAAUGGCUGAGAAUAUCCCGGAUAUAAUUUUCCAGCUGAAUCCCAUGUAGAGACUGUAAGCAGUUCUUGUGGUAAUGGCUAUGAUUGUUGCCAAGUAUUUUAGCCCAUUAUAUCCUUGCAUUGGAUCUUUCUCUUCACAGAGGCGCCUUAGGCACUGCAAAUGAGAAAGUGGGUAGCUGUUGAUUUAGUGCGAAGGUAAAGCAACAUGGAUCUUAAUGUUAUGUAAUUGAAUGAUGUACCUGAAGGAUGCGAGACCAGUAUGGAAUAACCGCAACAAUGAAAUAGAAAGUGUUGUAUACACCACUUGAUUUGCAAGUGUUUUGUCGUUGUUUAUAGUCUCCCCAACCAUAAUAGCAUAUGUAAAACUCCAGGCUUCUGAUGGCUUGGACCUGCAAACCCAGAAUAUAAUGAUGGAUGCUUAUUAUCUUCACAUCUUGUUUAUUUUUGGGGAAAAGGAGGCAUGUGUAGUUCUUUAACAAACCUGGCUAGUUAACUGAUCUGCCAAGAAGAAAUCUCGGAGCGCGACCUGUGUUAGAUAAGAUAAAUAUGCAUAAUUAAUGUAUUCAUCCAUAAAUGUUCAUUUUGUUUUGAGUGUGUGUUUGUAAUAUUACGAUACGUUUUAUACCUUGUAGAGAGGAGCACAGAUGCAAUGAAACAAGGAGGCGAGGAAAAAGAAGCGACUCGAUCGAUAUAUGAUGUUGAAUGGGCAGAUCAAUACGAUUAUUACAAGCUGAAAAUUAAGGUGCAAAGAUAAGCAUCAGCUUUAAUGCAUAUUUCAUAAGCUUUGUGUGGGCGAAAAAUGUUUGUGGAAUUUGAAUAAUUUUUUACCAAAACUAAGCCUAAAGGGAGAAGCUCAGUCAGCGCUUCAUAUUCUUUUGUUUUGGGAUUCAUCUCCAUGUCGAGAUUCGAAAGCACACUUGUUAGGGCUAAUGCUGCAAGGCAAAAGCUGACAAGAAGAACUUCCCUGUAUCCCAGCUCUGUUCCUUGCUUGAAACCAAAAAUGAAGGGGUAAUUGACCCUAUACUGCCUCCAGAAGCAUAUAUUGGCAGCAUACAUAAGCAUGUGUAGCACAACAAAUGCAAAGAGGCUGCAAAAGUUUAACAUGACUUAUCAACCAAACUCCAAAUAUUUUUCUUCUGAAAUAUGAAAAAGUGGAGCAUUUUCUGUUACCUGUAAAGGGGAAACAUGUUUUCCAUGUAUUGUGUUUUCCCUCUCUUAUCCAAGAGACCGCGGGCAUGUAUGAUGAGGAUAAGGGCUAGAAUAAGUGCUGCUGAGCAGCCAACAAAGAGACCUGAAAGAUUACUUAUAUACUGAUUCAGAUGAAUGGAACCAAGAACUACACUGGGGGCUAAAAAGAAGCUAGAUUGGAAAUACAUCUCACCAAGGGAAAAUGAAAUUCUAUGCCUUUCCUUCUUAGUCUUUGGUCUUAAAUUGUUCAUGCCUUUUCUGCGGUUUGAAUUGGAGAAAUGUUUGAUGAAUGUAUCUUCAACUCUCUCCAUAAGCUUGGUUACCUGCUAAGAAACAUGUCCGAUCAAUUAAAAUGAAUAGAAGCAUAGGAUGAAGAGGUUUCUCAGCAAGAAUCACAGAUUGCUUACUUCAUCAGAGAUGCUGAGGUAGGAGUUAUCCACCAUUCUCAUGUAAGAUGUUGACGCCCUUCUUGAAGUGAUCUGCAACACAAGACAGAAACGCAAGUGAAAAGAAGACCAUAAUUAAACUUUGUCCAAGAUAAAACAAUAAGAGGUAUGUCACAUAAUUUAGCAGGGGGCAUACCUUAUCAUAUUUCUUCAUGAUUUUUGAAAAUGCUAAGAUAUUCAAGAAGCUGUUUUCAAAUGCAAGCAAGAAUCAUGAGUCAAAAACUUAAGAACUCUCUUCUUAUAAUUACAAAUGCUGUCUAGAAAUUUUACCUGUAGCUCUUAAGAUGCCGAAGCUUGAGAUAAAACUCAACAAACGCCAUCUUAAGUUGUUUUUCGACUUUCUUUAGAUUUUCCCUACUGAAGGUCUCUGUCUGUCCAGCAACAUUGACAAAAUUUUGAAUGAUUGAACCAGGAGUCUCAAACGUUUUAUUAAGCUUCACAUGGCCAAGAAUUUCCAAUGGAACUGAUUUAAUGCCGCUGCUGGUGGUCUCCUGUUUCUGCUCUACGGGCUCGGAUUGAGUAGAAUCCUGAAGAACUCCUUGCAGUUUCUCAACUUUUAUCCGGAAUGCAAUCAAAGCAUCCAUUUGCUGACUCAAACUUUGAGCCUCAGCAAUAACUUCUUUCACUUUAGUCCUGUAAAACUUGUCAACUUUAUUGAACUCAUCAUCAAGCCUUCUAAAAUACUCCUGCUCGCAUUCCCCUCCUUCCUCAGCGACCUUCAGAAAUGUAGUCUCGUAACUUUCAGACCCAUUUUUGCUCACAGAAUUUACAAGAAUGUACUGGCUUUCAAUGUCUUUUUUAGAUGGACUAAUGGGGGUUUUUUCCUGACCCUGCACUAGGCCGCUGAAAGCUCGGUAUAGUGUCAUUGCUCUUGUUAACCCACCAUUUUGCCUGCUUCUCUGCUUCAUCCGUUGGAUAUCCUUCAAAAUGGUCUUCAAAGAAUCAUAAUUCAUGUAAGCUUCUUGCCAUUCAGGCACCAUUUGGGAUGCAUAUUCCUUCCCAAACUUCAUUCUCGAGUUCUGGAUAUUUCUUGAACACCAACAGAUUAUGAGUGGUCUUGAAUUGAUAAAAGGUGUAUAUAUUGUAUUAUAUGCAAACAUACCAGUUCACGUGCUAUAGAAAUUAGGUACAGUUUCUUUUUGAAUGAACGUACGUUUUCCAUGUGAAGCAUUCAGAAUUGGCAACCCGAAGGCUGAACUUAAUCAACUUAUAUGAUCUAUAAUGAAAAUAUAAUUAAGUUUUGGAUGUUGUUAUGUUAUAAUUCCUCUUCUAAGUGAAUCAUUCUUUAUUUUUUAUUUUUAACUAGCUUUCUAUUCACUUUCCGUAACCAGAAUUGUGUAGUAGGGUUGUCAAUGGAAUGAGAUGGGAUGAGAUUUACUAAUCUCAGUCCUAUCCCGUAUAUAUAAAUAGGAUGAAAAAACGUCACAGUUUCAUCUUUAUAUUUUUUUAAGAUAAAAAUAUAUUUUAAUCUCAUCUCAAAAGAGAUAAAAUCCUGCGGGAUAGUUCAAUUUUUAUUGCUCCACUUUAUAUUCCAACCAUAUAUAGUUCAAUUUUUAUUAAACAAAAGCAUUAAAAAAGAAAAGGAGAAUGAAUUAAAAAAUUUAAGUUUUGCAUGAUUAUCACGUUAUAUGGCACAUAAGAGUCUUAGAGACAAAAGUACAUAGAUUAUAGCGCCGUUUAGUUGGUAAUUAUCACUUAGCCACAAGUAUUUAUAAAGUAUAACUGAUAUGUCCAGCUAAUCUAUACAGGCUAGCCUAUAUCAUAUGCUAGGACGAAAAACACUUCGGCGGAACAAAUCAGCCUUUUAAUAAAGCUUCCUUGUCAUUUUCCUCGUAAGGUCCUUAUCAUCAUUAUUAAAAGCGCGGAAGUGGGCAAGUGGCCGCCCAAUUUUGUGUCCACCAUUAUGCGUGUGGGCUGGCCGCCACUCAAUCACUGACCCUAUUCAGUUUUGACGCUUUGGGCAAUUUACGGGUCUUACAUUGUUUGUAAUUUACACCAACUCAAAGUUAAUAUUUUUUAAUGACUGAUUUGUUAUUUAUCAAACAAUUAAAAAAUCAUGAGAAAUUAUUUUUUGGGACAAUUACAAAUUCCAGGUAAUACAACUUAACAAUAACAAACAUCUUUUCGGGAUUAUUAUAUUAUAGUAUAAUAUUAUUGUGCAGAUAUUCAGUGGUGCAACUACUUUAUGCUUGGGGCUGCGCAAAAUUUUAGAUUUUUUUUUUAGUACUUUAUAUUUUAAAGUAAAAGUUGGAAUAAUAAUAAUAAUAAUAAUAACCGGUAGUCCUUAAACUUCGAAAACACUUUAAUAACUUUUCUCUAUUAUAAUUCUUAUUUUUUUAUUUAUACAAAAAGAAAAUUAUCUAAUCUUUUUCUAUCCCAUCAAAGAGGCGUAACGGUAUCUUAAGUUCUCAAGAUUUAAAAUCGACAUAUUCGUCUUUUACUACUUUUUUUUUAAAAUUUAUUUGACAUAACAUAACUAAAUGAAUCAGUUAACUUCCUUAUUUUUUUUUAAUUUUGUUAUAUACAGAUUGUUACUGAUAUUAUAUCAGACAUUACAAUUAUAAUAUUUACAAUCGUACUAAACAACUGGGACCACCGUCAUACAUUAACCCAUUGAAAUACUUGUCCAAAUACUUUAAACCAUUUCUAAUAUUUGAGAGGUGCCUACUCCACUCACAUUUCGUAAGGGAGAGACUGUCUCCACUCAAUUAGUUGAUAACUGAGGAAGAACUGAAACUAACCUUCAUAAUGCUCUUAUGGAGGCUCGAACCAUUACACUCAAUAUUAUAAGUGCAAGACUUCUCCCAUUAGACCAAAAGUCCAUUGGUUCCUUGUUAAGUUUUUUUAUUAUCUCCCGAAAGGACUGCAACCACCAACUGUACCUCAAUAUUCAAGAGUAUAAAAUUCAUUUUAAAUAUAUGAUUGAAUUAGACACUGUAACGUACAAUUAUUUUGUAGUUUCAAUAAUUUAAGAUUUGAGUAACACAUAUUUUAUUUUUGCUACAAUAUUUUUAUAUGCAUUUCGAAGAGCCCAAAUCAAAAUGCAGGUUGCGCCCUUUGCAAACAUUUCUCAAUAUUAAUGAAAAAAUAAUAAAAAAAUUAUUUAUACACAAAAAAUAUAUGUAUGGGUUAUUAUUCUAAAGUAGGGUACAUCCGUUCAUGCAUUAAUGCAAUAGUGUACUCUCAAAACUAUUUUAGAAAGAUGUUCCGAAAUUGUGCUUUAAAAAAGAUGUCUGUGUUUCGUAAUAAUCUAUUGAAUGUAGUUAAAUUCUGAAACUAAAAAUAGUAAAUACGUAUUUCGAGUUGUUCUAAAAAUAAACUAAUCAGUGGUUUAAUUGUUGGGGAAAAAAAAAGACAAUCUCAUUUAGAGAGUUUUUUAAAAUACUAUUUACUUAUACAUUUUUUUAAAGGAUAAAUAAAAUCUCAUUUGAAGUAUCUUUAGGUGAUGCUCUAAGCAUCUAAAUUUUUUCCAAUUAAUAGGUACGGACAGAAAAAAAUUUUAAAAGAAAAAAAAAAGUAUAAUUUUGACAGAAGAAGCAUUUAAAAGAAAAAAAAAAUAAUUUUGACAAUAUGUACAGUCUGUGUUAUGUAUAACUCCAAAAGUUGAUUGCAACUCAACUAAUUGAGAUGAUUUUUCAAAGUUUGCACCAAAGGCAAUAGAUGAUGAAAGGAAAAGGGAAUUUCAUUAUAAACCUCUCACCAAUUUUCAAUUUAUCCAAUUACGGUUAAAUCUUUAAUUUUUCAUUGAUUUGACCAUCAACAUAUUUAAUAAACAAACAUAUCUUACAAUCUGUGGUUAAUCCUUCACUAUUCUCUCUAAUUCAUUCGUUGUUGUCCAAGAAGGACGAGUGAUGAGCAAAGAAAAAAGUCAACAACUGAAGGGGAAAAAAUUUAGAAGAAAGAUGAUUACGGUAGAAUGAGAGUUAAUUAGGUUGCGAAUGAAAGAAGGGUUGUUUUUGGAGUUUUGAAGGGUGUAUAGAGUAAAAUUUUACUUUUAAAAUCUAUUUCAUCGAUUUGUUGCGUAACUAGUUAUAGAGGUAAAAAUUACGGGUUUAAAAAAUUGAAAUUACAUCCGAUCUAAUUUGUUACCAUAUAUAUAUAUAUAUAUAUUUUUCUGAGGGUUAGGCCUUUGCCUUAUUAAGAUCCAAGGUUAACGAUGACAAGGCCCAAGCAACAAACUACAGAGGUCAAAGCCCUCAAUAGUUUAGUCAAAGUUGCUUGCCUGGUCAACUCAGUCAAUAUCCACUCCUUUGUUGUGUAAUAGUCAUAUUAUUCAACAAGUUAUAGCACGUAACAUGAUUUUUACGGUGGGUGGGGGAAGGGAAUGUAAAAUACCGGGACUUGCGGAUCAUUCGGCAGCGCGUAAUUAUAGUCUUUUUAGAUUUUAUGUGUGUGAGAUAAGAUAAGUCACUUUAUUUUAUCUUUUUAGCGCUAAGUAUGAAUUAGAGAAGUGAAUAUUUAUUAUUAGAGUAAUAAUAUAGUUAUAAACUUUUGUAUAAACUGAUGUGACAUGAUAAAAUUGGUUGAAUUAAAUAUCUAUAGACCCACAUGAU